AUUCCAGCUCCAAUAGCGUAUAUUAAAGUUGUUGCAGUUAAAAAGCUCGUAGUUGGAUUUUGGAUUGUGUUUAAUGGUCUGCCGUGAGGUAUGCACUGUUAGGCGCUUUCUUCUUGUCAAAGACUGUGUGUGCUCUUAAUUGAGUGUGCUCAGGGUUUGGCACUUUUACUGUGAGAAAAUUAGAGUGUUUAAAGCAGGCGUUUGCUUGAAUAUUGCAGCAUGGAAUAAUGGAAUAGGAUCACGAUCUUAUUUUGUUGGUUUCUAGGAUCGAGAUAAUGAUUAAUAGGGAUAGUUGGGGACAUUAAUAUUUAAUUGUCAGAGGUGAAAUUCUUGGAUUUAUGAAAGAUUAACUUCUGCGAAAGCAUUUGUCAAGGAUGUUUUCAUUA
rnacentral:rRNA from 1 species